ACUUCUAGUGAUCACAUAUACCUUCUCAAUUUUUUUCACAUUUUUUGAAUGUGUAGUUUAUUUUUGGGGGGGUUCAGAUCAACCUUAAUAACUUAAGUUAAUGGGCACUUAAAUGUGCUGAACUUCGUGAAAGAAAAGUUGUAUUACAAAAUUAAUGUUAUUCCUACUGUUAUUUACGAAAACCGUAUGUAUGCAAUUGGUGAAAAGGUUUACAAAUUGUUAUUUUUUAGAUAAUUACCUAGGUAGGUAGGUACCUACUGUAUUUUUAUUAUUAAGUACUUGUAUACGUAUGUUGUGACCAAUCGUUGUAAAUGUGUCGAUGAUCUUAGUUGUAGCAAUGGUAGCGCAAGAUUCUACGCAAUGCAUUUUUAAGGGCACGUUCACACGAUAGGCGCUGAACGCGCAUUAAGCGCUUGUCAUGUGAACGUGCCCGUGCUCGUUCGAAUAAGACUUUUGGCCAUGAAUUUAUCCAAAAACCCUCGUAUUAAUCACAAUUUGCAUAUAAAUAACAUGUCUGCACUAAUAAUAAAGAUAUAAAAAUAAAGAUACUAACAGAAAAUCUAUAAAACAUAUGACAAUAUAGUGAGAUUAAGUUAAAACUAAGCUAAAAACAUUUUUUUUAUUGUUUUUAUCACACAAGCUUUUUUAACAAUUGAACCUCUACAAGGGCGAAAAUCUUACAAAUUAGUGUAUAUAGAAAUGUAACUAUCAACUCACUUAAUUCACACUCUAGACCAUAUAUUCCCAAAAUCGUAUACCUAUGGAUCCCCAGGGGUCGAUUUUGACUUGCAGGGGUCCAAGGAGGAAAGAAAUUGAGGAUAUACAAGUUGUGAAUGUUUAUAAAUUUCAACAAGGGAUUGAACUUGGUUCUAGGUUUUCACCCACGUGAAUGAAUGUUCUAUAUUUCAGUCGAAGCAACCAAUUUAUACAAAUUCAAUUUACAUGUUGUAGGUAGAUUAUCGCUGAAACCGGAAAUGAUAUCAAAACCGGAAGUACAUCCCAGGCAAACAAGUGACGUCAAGAACGUCGAGGAAACGCAGCCUAAGUCUGACAGUCUGACGUCAGAAAAUUGGGAGGAGCUUAAAGACUUAAUGCUUAUGACUCCAAACAAUUUCCAUAAGAAGUGUUUCAUUUAUUGUUUAGGUGCUUUGUGUGGUAAAAUAAGUCUUUUCAUUUAGAUAUUUAGUUGAAGAAACGUGUUAAUUAAGAGAUUUUCAUUAGUUUUUCUUAAGUUAGUUAAGUUUAAUACAAUAAUUCUUCUUGAAAAUUGUUUGAGGUUAUGUUUUAAUUUGUUUUGGUGUGGUGUUUAUUUUCUGUUAAUGAACUAAUUAUGUGUUAUCGAGUUUAAUUAAGUUAACAAUAAAUUAUUUAUUAGUUUACAUAUAUGUUGUUUCAAUUUUGACACAGUAAGUAUAAUGUAUAAAAAGUGAAAAUUCUAUACCUAUAGGUAUGUUGCAUUGAGAGUAUUGUAAUUCUAUACAUUUUAGGAAGUCUUCCAAUUUGAUUUUACUUUUAGCCUAUGGGCUAAAUUUAAAACGGUUAAAUGAAAAAUUGCAAUACCAACAAUGCCCAUACAAAUAAUUAUUGUGUAUCUUUAAAACCAUAAAAUGAACCAUAAUCUAAAAAACGACAUAAAAACUACGUUUUUGAUAUCACGUAUAUUUAAAAGGUGAUAAAAAUGACGUCAAUUAUGGUGGGACAUAUUGACGUGACUUUCGACAUCGAAAAAACGUGAUAAACUGACGUGGUUUGGUGAUAAUUAUGACGUUUUUUCAACGUUUUGUAAACGUUAUUUGGUUGCCUGAGAUAUUCGGUUUCUUCUUAUCAAGACGGGUCGAAUGAUAUAUAUAUCCCAUUUCAACGAUUUUGUCACUUCCGGUUGUAACUCCAGAACCGGAAGUCCCAACUGAAAUUAUUUACCCUCACUGUCUUGCCCUAUUCAAGAACUCUUAUUUGAAACCUUAUUCUUUUCUUACGGAGCAGGAGAUGUAAUUACGGACGGACGGACGUGGAUAUUUCAACGUUUUCAUCAUUUUCUUUAAUAAUGUAGAAUUGCUCGUAUUCGUUUGAUCGCAUUUCAUCGAAGUGUCUUGCGUUUCAGCAACACAGUUGCUUGUGAUUACUCUUAUGGCUUCAGUUUCCAACCAACAUCUGCACAUGUGCCUUUUGUGCAACAAAGGUCUUAAGUCAUGAUGCUAUGUCAUUUUUUCGUAAAAGGACUUAAGCCUAUCGAAUAUAUUUCGAAAAAUUCGACAUGAGGGGAUCUAUGGAAAC
rnacentral:lncRNA from 1 species